rnacentral:rRNA from 1 species
CCUACGGGUGGCUGCAGUGGGGAAUAUUGGACAAUGGGCGCAAGCCUGAUCCAGCAAUGCCGCGUGUGUGAAGAAGGCCCUCGGGUUGUAAAGCCCUUUUAUCAGGAACGAAAUACCACGGGUUAAUACCCUAUGGGGCUGACGGUACCUGAGGAAUAAGCACCGGCUAACUUCGUGCCAGCAGCCGCGGUAAUACGAAGGGUGCAAGCGUUAAUCGGAAUUACCGUGGGUAGUGGGUGCGUAGGCGGUUGAAAUCCCCGGGCUCAACCUGGGAAUGGCAAUGGAUACUGGCGAGCUAGAGUGUGUCAGAGGAUGGUGGAAGUCCCGGUGUAGCGGUGAAAUGCGUAGAGAUCGGGAGGAACAUCAGUGGCGAAGGCGGCCAUCUGGGACAACACUGACGCUGAAGCACGAAAGCGUGGGGAGCAAACAGGAUUAGAUACCCUAGUAGUC